ACAUCUUUAUAUGAUGAACCGCGUACUUUUUGUAGAACGGUCCGGCGAGUUACGCUGGCUGGCGAGGUUAAGGACUAAAGGUCCGGAGCCGAAGGGAAACCAAGUCUGAAUAGGGCGCAUAGUCAGUCGGAGUAGACCCGAAACCGGGUGAUCUAUCCAUGUCCAGGUUGAAGUUGCCGUAAAAGGCAAUGGAGGACCGAACCCACAUCCGUUGAAAAGGGUGGGGAUGAGGUGUGGAUAGGGGAGAAAUUCCAAUCGAACCCGGAGAUAGCUGGUUCUCCUCGAAAUAGCUUUAGGGCUAGCCUCAUACGAGUCUUGCGGAGGUAGAGCACUGAAUUCCUAAGGGGGCGUCAAAGCUUACUAAGGGAUAUCAAACUCCGAAUGCCGUGUAGAUGAUGUAUGGGAGUCAGACGAUCCGAGAUAAGUUGGGUGGUCAAAAGGGAAAGAGCCCAGACCAACAGCUAAGGCCCCAAAAUGUGUGUUAAGUGGAAAAGGAUGUGGGAUUUCGAAGACAACUAGGAUGUUGGCUCAGAAGCAGCCAUACAUUAAAAGAGUGCGUAAUAGCUCACUAGUCGAGAGGUCCUGCGCCGAAAAUGUCCGGGGCUGAAACACAACACCGAAGCUGCGGAACCCGCAAGGGUUGGUAGAGGAGCAUUCUUAAAGGAACGAAGCAGUACCGUAAGGAGCUGUGGACUUUUAAGAAGAGAGAAUGCCGGAAUGAGUAGCGAGAGGAAGGUGGGAAUCCUUCCGGCCGAAUAUCUAAGGUUUCCAGAGUAAAGCUGAUCUGCUCUGGGUAAGUCGGGGCCUAAGGCGAGGACGAGAGUCGUAGCCGAUGGACAACAGGUUGAGAUUCCUGUACUGCAGUAAGACAGAACUGUGGGGACACGUGUGGAGAGCAUAGGCGCGGAAUGGAAAGCCGCGUGCAAGCGAGGUAGGAGUCCUGUAGGAAAAACCGCAGGGCAAUCCGAAGGCGUGAUGCGGACCGAAAUCUAGUAGGGAAGUAUGUGAGCCAUGCGUCAAGAAAAGCCGCUAUUGUUCUUAUUGUACCCGUACCGUAAACCGACACAGGUGGAUGAGGAGAGAAUCCUAAGGCCGACGGAAGAAGCAUUGCUAAGGAACUCGGCAAAAUGACCCUGUAACUUCGGGAGAAAGGGUGCCUCGAAAGAGGCCGCAGAGAAUAGGCCCAAGCAACUGUUUAGCAAAAACACAGGUCUAUGCAAAACCGCAAGGUGAAGUAUAUGGGCUGACGCCUGCCCGGUGCUGGAAGGUUAAGGGGAGAUGUCAGGAGACGAAGCAUCGAACUUAAGCCCCAGUAAACGGCGGCCGUAACUAUAACGGUCCUAAGGUAGCGAAAUUCCUUGUCGGGUAAGUUCCGACCCGCACGAAAGGCGUAAUGAUUUGGGC
rnacentral:rRNA from 1 species